CAGACGGUUUCGCAAACUGGCCUUGAACACAAGUGUUGUCAAACUGUGCCGGAGCUGGGACCCGUUUCUGCUGCUGAAACAUCCAGGUGUGUGGCGAGAGCGUGAGCUUCAGAUCCUGGUUCCACCACUCCGUGCCCAAUUCUGUAACUUUCGAUGGGAAGAGUGACACUACUAAUUUCAUAGUACCAGUGGGAGAAAGGGAAGGGACGAGGGUAUCUAGCUUGGUGGCCAGCGCACAGACAGACUGCAACAGAGGCCAGUAAGUAAGAGCUGGGGGGGGGGGGGGGGGGGGGGGGGGGGGGGGGGCGGGGACAUGUCAAGUGGUGACAGCAGGGAGGGAAGAAGAGGAGGAUGUGAUACAGUAUUGAGUAGUGACAGUCCCACUGGUGGUCUUACCACCCAGAUAAUUCUUGGCUCUCUGUCACAGGGCUCAGAGGACAUCCUGCCUCUCCCAAUCUCUACCGAAGGAGUCCCAGAAAGAAAGAGGUGCCUGGCAAGGGAAUUCUAUGUACCCCCUGACUUCCAAAGGGCUGGGACGGUUGCAGGUAAGAGCUCUGACUGGUUCAUCAUCCUGAGACUGGUGAGUUUGCUCAACGGUUGGCCUAAGAGGGAAGAUGCCAGAGAGGUCCCUCCUCCUGCUGAAACCAAGGGGCAAGAAGUUAAUCCCCCAAAGGUGCUGCCACCUGCCACAGGAUGUUUCAUCGUAAAUGAAAGAUACACUGCAUAAAUCAUGUAUGCUCAGUACUUGUUGAAUCAAUGAAUGUUGGUGGAUAAAUAUCGCUAAGCAUUCCUUUAAUAGGGCACAGAGUUAUCUUUUUUUUUUUUAAGUUUAUUUAUUUCGAGAGACGGAGCGAGAGAGAGCAUGUAUAUGCGUUGGGGAGGGGCAGAGAGAGAGUGAGGCCAAGAAUCCCAAGCAGGCUCUGUGCUCCCAAUGCAGGCCUUGAACCCACGAAUCAUGCGAUCAUGACCUUAGCCGAAAUCAAGAGUUGGACUCUUAACCAACUGAGCCACCCGGGCACCCCAGAGCACAGAGUGUUC
rnacentral:lncRNA from 1 species